rnacentral:lncRNA from 1 species
UGCAUCACACCCUGCCGUGCCGGCAAAUUGGAUAAUUACACGAUCAUCUUUGCCUAGAUCUCACUUGUUGGUACACCUGUCUCCAGGGGUGGACUCCAAAUCAGGGGAUUUUGUCAGGCAAGGUGCAGGAGGAGAAAGAUAGCGAUGGGGACAGCCAGAUUCCAGCUGUGAGGCACCACUAACGAGCUGCAGCCCCAGCAUCCUUCUUCAGAAAUACCCAGCAUCCCCUUCACUCCAGAGACCCAGACCUAGAAGUUGGGUGAACGAUCAUUUCUCCCCAGCAUGCUGGCUUGGAUCAGGAUUUUGUUCACUAAAAACCAUAUUGUUUUGUCAAUACGA